GACGAACGCUGGCGGCGUGCUUAACACAUGCAAGUCGAACGGCAAGGCCCUGCUUUUGUGGUGUUCUCGAGUGGCGAACGGGUGAGUAACCCGUGAGUAACCUGCCCUUGACUUUCGUAUAACUUCAGGAAACUGGGGCUAAUACCGGAUAGGAGCUCCUGCUGCAUGGUGGGGGUUGGAAAGUUUCGGCGGUUGGGGAUGGACUCGCGGCUUAUCAGCUUGUUGGUGGGGUAGUGGCUUACCAAGGCUUUGAAGGGUAGCCGGCCUGAGAGGGUGACCGGCCACAAUGGGACUGAGAUACGGACCAGACUCCUACGGGAGGCAGCAGUGGGGAAUAUUGCACAAUGGGCGGAAGCCUGAUGCAGCAACGCCGCGUGCGGGAUGACGGCCUUCGGGUUGUAAACCGCUUUAGCCUGUGACGAAGCGUGAGUGACGGUAAUGGGUAAAGAAGCACCGGCUAACUACGUG
rnacentral:rRNA from 1 species